GUGUGUGUCAGGUGGAGCUGGGCGUCGAGACUCGUUAAGAGGGGUAACACACUAACCCCUGUGUCUCCGCAGGGGCAGCUGCGGGGGCUGCAGCCAGGCCACUGAAACAGGGUGAGUAGAGUCCCACCCCUCGCCGAGCUCCGCACAGCGAAGCACAAUCCUCGCGUGACUUGUCGCGUGUGUUUCAGGUUACGGCGUCCAGCCAGGCUAUGGAGCAGGAGCGGCACUCGGGCUACCUCAGGCCAGGAAACAGAAAGCAGGUUAUGGCGGCAAUGGAUAUGCUUAUGGGGCUCAGCCACUCGGAGGAUACGGACCUGGGGCAGGAGCCUAUCUGGGGGCGGGGCUUGGGGCAGGUAAGAGCCAAUAGGCUGUCUGUCUGCUUUUGUCCAUGUCCCUGAUUCGCUGUGUCAUCUGGGUCUUCACCAGCACAACCCGCCCCUCUCACACCUCUUUCCCCCUCAGGGCCUGGAGUCUCUGCUGGACUGGCAGGUCAGUCUGCGUGUGCGUGUCUGUGCAGGUGUCUACAUGUGUGCGCGUGACUG
rnacentral:lncRNA from 1 species